rnacentral:lncRNA from 1 species
UUUUGUGAUCAGUACUAUAUUUUCUUUCCAAAAUUAGACUUAGGUCUAUUUAUUUUCCACCCGGUUCCUUAAUUGAAGGGAUUCCCUUCUCCUUAAUUGAUACUAAUUGAUUUUCUGAAUAUUUUCCUUGCCUUAUUGUUACUUCUCUUUCAACUAUAAAUAGGAUCUCUCUUUUCUCACUCAACACAUAUGAUUCUCUAGUUCUCUCUACUCUCACUCACGAAAAUUUUCUACUUUUCUCUUCUUUCUACUUGCUCUCUCUGUUAAAGGCUAGCCGGCUGAAAGCCAAGGCUAGUUAUAGAAUUUCUCUUUACUUUUGUCAUUCAAGUGCAACUAGUAUGUUCUAACCUCAAUUACUAAUCUUUCAACUACUUGUAUACUCUGACCGUGUCUUUGCCUGAUAUACUUGCAGUCUAAUUUCAUCAUGUAAUCCCUUUUCCCUUUCCCCUUGUUUGUUUCUUUCAGGACUCUAUUUGAGUUCUAGCAUGUUUAAACCCCCUCUCCCUUUCCCUGGGCUGUCGUGUUUCAGUUUAAAGUCCUAUCAUGUUUAAUCCCCUUCCCUCUAUCCCCUUGUCUGAUUAUUUUAUCUCAUAUGAGUUUUUAGUACGUUUAAAUCCCUAUCCCUUGUCCCCUUGUUUAUGCUGUAGAUUUCAGUAUGUUAAUCCCCAUUUCCCUUUAUCCCUCACCUGUUUGUGUUAAAUUUUAGCGUGUUAGUCCUUUCCAUUUUCCCUUUGGUUGUUUUCAGUAUUUCAGUAUGUUAAGUUCCUUUUUGCUGCUUGUGUGUUGUCCAUCACUAUGUUUUAUUUCAACUUAAUUUUGUCUGUUAAAAUCUUAUGUGAUUUCCCCUUGCCCUUUACCCAUGUUUGCAUAUGACUUUGUUUUGGAUGAGAAUGGCAUCUCAUUGCCACUUCUAAUCUAGAACCAAGUCUUAGAUGCCUAUACUCAGAAUGAUCCCAUUCCCUUUUCCCCUCUUAUGUGCUUGAGCCUGGACAUAGAACCAAGGCUUAAUUGCCUAUACUCAGAAUGAUGCCAUUCCCUUUUUCGCUCUUAUGUGCUUGAGCCUAGACAAAUGCCUGUUGGUGUCUUAAUCACCUUCCAGGACCUUGUCUGACUCGUUUACAAGUCUGCUCCUAUUUGUAACCUUUGUAAGGAGUUUGGGGUGUGCCAGUCUCAAUCAAUAGGCUGGGUAUGACCACUUCAUACAUUGGUUCCCUUUAAUCAUCACUUUGCACUUAUUCUUAGCCCCUUUAAGUUCCUACCCCUCUUUGGUAUGCCAUGCUUAGGGACCUUGGAGUCUCCUCUGAACUUGGAUGCCUUAGGGCUGGUAAUUCC